UUAAGUUCAGCGGGUAUUCCUACCUGAUCCGAGGUCAACCUUGUAAAAGAUUUCCCUUAAAGGGAGAGGACCGUGCCCCGGGCACCCUUAUCCGAUACGUGCUCAGUGAAGAAGCUCAGUGUACCGGGGGUCCUCCGAGGCCGCCGUCAUUGUCUUUGGGAGGGGUCGAGUCAGGGCUCAACCACGCCGUCCAACACCAA
rnacentral:misc_RNA from 1 species